CUGGGAUGUGUAUAGUCCAUGGGAUGUGUAACCUGAGUUGAGGCAAGGAAAAGCUGGUGGAUGUGCUGUUUAAUUGGACCAGGGAAAGAUGGCUUCCUAACUACAGGUUUAGAAGGCUCAGUUUGUGAUCGUUUGGUCCCAUGUCCUUUGGACACAUGAUAGUGUGAUCCAUCACUAUGGGAAGCAUGUGGCGGAGAAAACUAUUCAUCAUGUAGUAGCUGAGAAGAAGAGAGAAACGGGAAGAAUGACAUCUCAGUAUUCCCACUUAGUAUGCAUUCCCAAUAACCUAACUUCUCCUACUAGACUCUACCUACUAUAGUUUUAGCAUUUCCUUAGCAUUUCCUGUCGGUUGGUGACCAUGCUUUAACUCAUGAGUUUUUGGGACACUUAGCCAAACUAUUUGUCUUAGCUCCUAUUGCUGUGAUAAAAUACCUGGAAAAAAGCAA